rnacentral:rRNA from 1 species
GUGGGGAAUCUUGCGCAAUGGGGGAAACCCUGACGCAGCAACGCCGCGUGAGUGAUGAAGGUCUUCGGAUCGUAAAGCUCUGUCGGCAGGAACGAUGGAUAGGUUGGAUAACACCCAACAAAUCUGACGGUACCUGCAAAGGAAGCACCGGCUAACUCUGUGCCAGCAGCCGCGGUAAGACAGAGGGUGCAAGCGUUGUUCGGAAUUAUUGGGCGUAAAGGGCGCGUAGGCGGCUAUGUAAGUCAAAUGUGAAAGCCCGGGGCUUAACCCCGGAAGUGCAUCUGAUACUGCGUAGCUUGAGUCUCGGAGAGGGUGGUGGAAUUCCUGGUGUAGAGGUGAAAUUCGUAGAUAUCAGGAGGAACACCGGUGGCGAAGGCGACCACCUGGACGAAGACUGACGCUGAGGCGCGAAAGCGUGGGGAGCAAACAGGAUUAGAUACCCGUGUAGUCC